AACAGGGUAGCCUAGUGGACAUGGCAUCUGCCCGGUAAGCGGAACAUUGUGGGUUCGUUUCCCAUCCCUGGACACUUUUA
rnacentral:tRNA from 1 species